rnacentral:lncRNA from 1 species
UCAGGUGCAGGGUCCUGUUAGUCUCCGGAGUGUCCAGGCUCUGCAUCAGUGCCAGGAAGGGCUGCGGCUGCCGCUGCAGCUGCAGCAGGAGUGGCUUGACCUUGUUCUCCUGGGUCCCCUCUGAGCUGAGGGCUUGCUCUAGAUCCAGGAGGAUUUUCCCAGCUGGACCAUAACCCUCCACCAGACGCUGCAGGGGAGUGUUGGGACUCUGAGAUGGGGGUUCUUUUGCUACAGGAAGGGGACGACAAAUUUUAUAUUCUUUUUUUUUUUUUUUCUUUGAGACGGAGUCUCGCUCUGUCACCCAGGCUGGAGUGCAGUGGCAUGAUCUCGGCUCACUGCAACCUCCGCCUCCUGGGUUCACGCCAUUCUCCUGCCUCAGCCUCCAGUAGCUGGGACUACAGGGAUGGGUAGGCUUGGUUCCCUGCUAGGGCUUCAGGCCCAUACUUCUUGUAGACAUGGCAGUUGAUCAGGUCCCUGAGGGCACUGUCAUUGAGUCGCUGUGGCAGCCCCAGUUGGUAACUUCUCCCUAAUCUCACCCUUCCUAGAAAUCUUAGACCCUCUACUCUUUCAAUCCAAUCCUUUUGCCACCACACAAUGAGAAAGAACUGAUUUGCUUCAAAAGCUAAAAUUUGCUAACUUAUACACAUACACACACACACGCACAUAAACACGAUCUACA